rnacentral:rRNA from 1 species
UGGGUAACCUGCCUCAAGAGGGGAAUAGCCUCCCGGAAAGGGGAGAUUAAUACCGCAUAAUAUGUUUUAGUCGCAUGACUUAAACAUCAAAGGAUUUUCUUUUAGAAAUUCCACUUUGAGAUGGACCCGCGGCGCAUUAGCUAGUUGGUGAGGUAACGGCUCACCAAGGCAACGAUGCGUAGCCGACCUGAGAGGGUGAUCGGCCACAUUGGAACUGAGACACGGUCCGGACUCCGUACGGGAGCAG